GAUGAAGAACGUAGUGAAAUGCGAUAAGUAGUGUGAAUUGCAGAAUUCAGUGAAUCAUCGAAUCUUUGAACGCACAUUGCGCCCCUUGGUAUCCCGAGGGGCAUGCCUGUCCGAGCGUCAUUGCUGCCCUCAAGCACGGCUUGUGUGUUGGGCCUCCGUCCUCCUCCCGGGGGACGGGCCCGAAAGGCAGCGGCGGCACCGCGUCCGGUCCUCGAGCGUAUGGGGCUUCGUCACCCGCUCUUGUAGGCCCGGCCGGCGCUUGCCGACACAUCAAUCUUUUUUCCAGGUUGACCUCGGAUCAGGUAGGGAUACCCGCUGAACUUAAGCAUAUCAAUAAGCGGAGGA
rnacentral:misc_RNA from 1 species